rnacentral:rRNA from 1 species
CAGCUCCAACAGUGUAUGCUAAAGUUGUUGCGGUUGAAAAGCUCGUAGUUGGAUUUUGGGCGAGCGCCGCCGGUCCGUCGCAAGGCGUGUCACUGGUUGCGUUCGCCUCACCUUCGGUUCUCCGUCGGUGCUCUUGACUGAGUGUCGGCGGUGGCCGAUAAGUUUACUUUGAAAAAAUUAGAGUGUUCAAAGCAGGCUGUUCGCCUGCAUAGUGUUGCAUGGAAUAAUGGAAUAGGACCUCGGUUCUAUUUUGUUGGUUUUCGGAGCACGAGGUAAUGAUUAAGAGGGACAGACGGGGGCGUCCGUACUCUGCCGUUAGAGGUGAAAUUCUUGGAUCGGCGGAAGACGAACUACUGCGAAAGCAUUCGCCAAGAAUGUUUUCUUUAAUCAAGAGCGAAAGUCAGAGGUUCGAAGACGAUCAGAUACCGUCCUAGUUCUGACUAUAAACGAUGCCAACUAGCGAUCGGGAGGCGUUACCAUGACGACCUUUCCGGCAGCUUCCGGGAAACCAAAGUCUUUGGGUUCCGGGGGAAGUAUGGUUGCAAAGCUGAAACUUAAAGGAAUUGACGGAAGGGCACCACCAGGAGUGGAGCCUGCGGCUUAAUUUGACUCAACACGGGGAAACUCACCCGGCCCGGACACAGGUAGGAUUGACAGAUUGAGAGCUCUUUCUUGAUUCU